GACGAACGCUGGCGGCGUGCCUAACACAUGCAAGUCGAACGGAGAAGUCAGCAAUGACUUCUUAGUGGCGAACGGGUGAGUAACGCGUAGACAACCAACCUUUUGGUGGGGGACAACAUCUCGAAAGGGGUGCUAAUACCGCACGCGCUCUUCGUGGUACCUGCCAGGAAGAGGAAAGGGGCCGUAAGGCCUCGCCGAAAGACGGGUCUGCGUCUGAUUAGCUAGUUGGCGGGGUAACGGCCCACCAAGGCGACGAGCAGUAGCCGGUCUGAGAGGAAGAACGGCCAGACUGGGACUGAGACACGGCCCAGACGCCGACGGGAGGCAGCAGUGGGGAAUCUUCCGCAAUGGACGAAAGUCUGACGGAGCGACGCCGCGUGAGUGAAGAAGGCCCUUGGGUCGUAAAGCUCUGUCAUCGGGGACGAACGGCCAGGUCAGGAAAUGGGCCUGGAUUGACGGUACCCGAGAAGGAAGCCACGGCUAACUACGUGCCAGCCGCCGCGGUA
rnacentral:rRNA from 1 species